GAGCGCCGUAGCAAUACGGAGCGGCAGACGGGAGAGUAACACGUGGGAACGUGCCCUUCAGUUCGGAACAACCCAGGGAAACUUGGGCUAAUACCGGAUACGUCCGUAAGGAGAAAGAUUUAUCGCUGAAGGAUCGGCCCGCGUCUGAUUAGCUAGUUGGUGAGGUAACGGCUCACCAAAGCGACGAUCAGUAGCUGGUCUGAGAGGAUGAUCAGCCUCACUGGGACUGAGACACGGCCCAGACUCCUACGGAUGGCAGCAGUAGGGAAUCUUGCGCAAUGGGCGAAAGCCUGACGCAGCGACACCGCGUGGGGGAUGAAGGCCUUCGGGUUGUAAACCCCUUUCAUGAGGGAAGAACACUGACCUAACCUCAGGAAGAAGCACCGGCUAACUCCGUG
rnacentral:rRNA from 1 species